rnacentral:rRNA from 1 species
GACGAACGCUGGCGGCGUGCUUAACACAUGCAAGUCGAACGGAAAGGCCCUGCUUUUGUGGGGUGCUCGAGUGGCGAACGGGUGAGUAACACGUGAGUAACCUGCCCUUGACUUUGGGAUAACUUCAGGAAACUGGGGCUAAUACCGGAUAGGAGCUCCUGCUGCAUGGUGGGGGUUGGAAAGUUUCGGCGGUUGGGGAUGGACUCGCGGCUUAUCAGCUUGUUGGUGGGGUAGUGGCUUACCAAGGCUUUGAAGGGUAGCCGGCCUGAGAGGGUGGCCGGCCACAUUGGGACUGAGAUACGGCCCAGACUCCUACGGGAGGCAGCAGUGGGGAAUCUUGCACAAUGGGCGGAAGCCUGAUGCAGCAACGCCGCGUGCGGGAUGACGGCCUUCGGGUUGUAAACCGCUUUCGCCUGUGACGAAGCGUGAGUGACGGUAAUGGGUAAAGAAGCACCGGCUAACUACGUG